AUUGAACGCUGGCGGCAUGCCUUACACAUGCAAGUCGAACGGCAGCACGGGUGCUUGCACCUGGUGGCGAGUGGCGAACGGGUGAGUCAUACAUCGGAACAUGUCCUGUAGUGGGGGAUAGCCCGGCGAAAGCCGGAUUAAUACCGAAUACGAUCUACGGCUGAAAGCGGGGGACCUUCGGGCCUCGCGCUAUAGGGUUGGCCGCUGGCUGAUUAGCGAGUUGGUGGGGUAAAGGCCUACCAGGGCGACGAUCAGUAGCUGGUAUGAGAGGCGGACCAGCCACGCUGGGACUGGGGCACGGCCCAGACUGCUACGGGAGGCAGCAGUGGGGAAUUUUGGACAAUGCGCGAAAGCCUGAUCCAGCAAUGCCGCGUGUGUGAAGAAGGCCUUCUGGUUGUAAAGCACUUUUGUCCGGAAAGAAAACCUUGGCCCUAAGACGGGCGGUGGAUGACGGUACCGGAAGAAUAAGCACCGGCUAACUACGUG
rnacentral:rRNA from 1 species